GUGGCAAGCAGGACACGGUUUGGUGCAGUGAGGACCGUUGUCCUGACAUUAAUCAGCACGCUGGUUUAAUUGAUUGUGCUGUCUGCACAGGGAUUCUUGUGCUGGUGGUGUAGCACAGCACCUCCGAGCACUUGCCUGGGUGUGGAUGGGAGGGUUUCACUCGGUUCCUGCUUGUCAGCCCUUGCGUUUCUACUGGAGUUGUCUUAAAUGCUGCCUGAAAGUUGGCUCUGUUCGGCAGAACCCAAGCACCUGUGCUGAAAGCAUUGUCUUUGCUCUGUGUUUUCCAGCGGGAAAAGAUGAGGAAGCUGAACAGUCAUUGAAAUAAGUAUCUGCUGUUCUGUAUAUGGAGAAUUGAUUCUGCCAGUUUUGGCCCAAGCAGGUGUCUUCCCAGACCACUGCAUAUCCUGCUUCUGUUCUGUGCUGCUGGUAACUGUUUUUUCCAGUUGUGCAAAAGGGAGAUGUUCCUGCCAGAAUGAUGUUCCAGUGGUGUUUGUGUGGUAUGUAUGGGAUGUGGAGAAUCCUGUUGUGAUGCUCCAUAUGAUCUUGGGCUUUUAGUGUAUAGGUUGAUGUGGAAGAGCAGCUGAGAUCUUUGUUUCUGUCAUGCCCUGCAAGUGACUGGAUUCAUUUACAAGAAGAAUUCAGUGAGUGAACUUUCUGUUGUAAAGUCACAUUUUACUGGGUUCAGAUUAAGAGCAUCUGUACUCGAGGAUACCACAGGGGCGGGGUGGCAUAGUAACACGUAUGAAAUCUGUCAUUUAACCUGGUCAUUACAUCUGUCAUAAGUGUCAGUAAAUCUGUCACUGACCAACACCUGGUCAAGGUUUUCAUGUGGCUAAUGUUUAAAAUAAUAAUAGUAAGAAUUCACUUCCUAAUUUCAGUGUUUUGAAUAGCUCUUGCAAUGUAACCUUUCUGUACAGCUGAAGCUUUCCUUGUUCAAGUAGUUCCUGUGUAAUAUUUCCAUCGAAGGACAUAGACUAUCUGGAUUCUGAACCUGAGAAGCACCAAGAUAUUUUGGUAUUUCGGUAUUUAGUACUUAAUAUUUUUAUAUUUGGCAUCUGUGAAAAAUGCUAUUUCCCCUCUCCUUUCCCAGUAGAUAUGAAAUAGGAAAAACAGAGCACUGUUUGCAUUGAUAUCUUUCUUAACUUCAGAGUAUCCAUGUAGCUGCUGGAAUGCAGGAGAGGUUGGUUCUUGUGAAGUAGGGCCAUUCUAUAAGUUCUUGCUAAGAAAUAAAGCUGGAAGUGCAAUCCUGGAAGCAGUUUGGGACACUACUAAAGAGGGAACUCUUUGCUAAGAUUUGUGCCUUUUUAGCACUGUUGAUGUGUUCACUUGCUUUGCCUUUGAUCCUUGGAUGACUGAGAAGACUGAAGGUGAUGGGGUGAGAAGGGUGAGGUUUCAGUGAGGAGAGACCUUGAGAGCUUGAUGAGCCUGAGGCCAGGUUUUGAAGAACAGUGUGCACUGAACAUGGUUUGCUUAGAGGCUGGGAGAAGUUGUCAUUAGACAAUGAAUUUCUAGUGCAAGUGGCAUAGGA